AACGAACGCUGGCGGCAGGCCUAACACAUGCAAGUCGAGCGCCCGCAAGGGAGCGGCGGACGGGUGAGUAACGCGUGGGAACGUGCCCUUUGCUACGGAAUAGCCUCGGGAAACUGAGAGUAAUACCGUAUGUGCCCUACGGGGGAAAGAUUUAUCGCCAAAGGAUCGGCCCGCGUUGGAUUAGGUAGUUGGUGGGGUAAUGGCCUACCAAGCCGACGAUCCAUAGCUGGUUUGAGAGGAUGAUCAGCCACACUGGGACUGAGACACGGCCCAGACUCCUACGGGAGGCAGCAGUGGGGAAUCUUAGACAAUGGGGGAAACCCUGAUCUAGCCAUGCCGCGUGAUCGAUGAAGGCCUUAGGGUUGUAAAGAUCUUUCAGUUGGGAAGAUAAUGACGGUACCAACAGAAGAAGCCCCGGCUAACUCCGUGCCAGCCGCCGCGGUAAUAC
rnacentral:rRNA from 1 species